rnacentral:lncRNA from 1 species
GCUACUAUGCUUUAAGACCAUCAGCUCACCCGAGAGCUGAUGGAGUCGAUUUUGAUGCCAGUCAACCGAUUGGAGAGGAGGUCUCGCCCCUCAGACAAGGUUGUAGAGGCCAAUUAUGCUAGUCUUCUUAGGGUGAGUCACUAACUUUCGUGCUUAUUCUAAUCUUUUGAUCAUGCCUUUCUGACUAUUGUUCUUUCAUGCA